rnacentral:rRNA from 1 species
GGCCAGCAGCCGCGGUAAUACGUAGGCAGCAAGCGUUGUUCGGAGUUACUGGGCGUAAAGGGUGCGUAGGCGGUUCCCUAAGUUUGGUGUGAAAUCUCCCGGCUCAACUGGGAGGGUGCGCCGAAAACUGGGGAGCUAGAGUGUGGGAGAGGUGAGUGGAAUUCCUGGUGUAGCGGUGAAAUGCGUAGAUAUCAGGAGGAACACCGGUGGUGUAGACGGCUCACUGGACCAUUACUGACGCUGAGGCACGAAAGCGUGGGUAGCAAACAGGAUUAGAUACCCUGGUAGUCCACGCCCUAAACGAUGCACACUUGGUGUGGGCCAUUCAUUUGGUCUGUGCCGGAGCUAACGCGUUAAGUGUGCCGCCUGGGGAGUACGGUCGCAAGGCUGAAACUCAAAUAAAUUGACGG